rnacentral:rRNA from 1 species
UGAGCAAUCUGCCCUUCUCUUCGGAAUAAGCGUGGGAAACCGCGUCUAAUGCCGAAUACGACCUCCUUUCGCAUGAGCGGAGGUGGAAAGCUCCGGCGGAGAAGGAUGAGCUCGCGGCCUAUCAGCUAGUUGGUGUGGGUAAUGGCCCACCAAGGCGACGACGGGUAGCCGGCCUGAGAGGGUGACCGGCCACACUGGGACUGAGACACGGCCCAGACCUCCGUACGGGAGGCAGCG